CCCUGGUGAUGAACAACUGAAGAAAAAUCCAUCACUGAGGCACUCAAAGUUUAUAAUCCUUACAAGUGACCUUUCCAUGAACCCAAAUUUAAGGACAUCUUUAAAGGAAAGACUGUGUGAUAUUAUAAUUUCCAGGACUCAAUCUAGAAUUACCUAAUAUAUGAAAAGCCAGGUGAAUGGCAAACACUCUCAAAAGAAAAGGAAAUGAACUGAAACCAGAUGAUCCUGAUAUUCAAAAUCUGCCCAGAACUCUGUCCAGCCCUGGGACAACUCCUUGUGAGGCAGAAGAAAGGGAAACCUUCCUGCAGAUCUUUGAAGAAGCCACUAGACAGGCUGAAGGACAACUACAGUCCUUCGAGAAGAGUCCACUUCCUCUGGCACCAGUGAAUGAACCAGGACUUCGGGGCCAUCCGAACCAUCCUCACUGUCCCUGCUAAUCUUGUGUUUGGGGGAUGACAGGCCAUUUAGAGCACAAAGUUCAUUCUUACCACAGAGCGUCACCUUCUUUCUCCAAGUCUUCCUCUGCCCAUUGCAAGUUUUGAAUAGAUUCUGGUGUUCUGAAAGUCAAUUCCAACACCUUUGCCAGCUCAUUAAUUACUGUUGGGGAGGAACAGAGCUCUAGAAUUAGCAUGCUUAACCCCUUACUCCUCUCUACCUGCAAAUAUACAAAAUAUGUAUUGAUCUGUUUAUUUAUUGCAUACCUUACCCAUCCAAAAAUGAAACC